rnacentral:rRNA from 1 species
CCCUUAGAUGUUCUGGGCCGCACGCGUGCUACACUGAACGGUUCAAUGAGUAAGGUAGUGCGAAAGCAUGACCUAAUCUCGAAAUCCGUUCGUGCUGGGGAUAGAAGCUUGCAAUUAUCCUUCUUGAACGAGGAAUACCUUGUAAGCGUGAGUCAUCAUCUCACGCUGAAUACGUCCCUGCCCUUUGUACACACCGCCCGUCGCUCCUACCGAUUGAGUGUUCCGGUGAGGCUUUGGGAGAAUGGCCUCAACAUGAGUUUAUCGUGUUUUGCCGUUUGAACUUAGUCAAACCUUAUCACUUAGAGGAAGGAGAAGUCGUAACA